rnacentral:rRNA from 1 species
UACGUAGGGUGCAAGCGUUGUCCGGAAUUAUUGGGCGUAAAGAGCUCGUAGGCGGUCUGUCGCGUCUGCUGUGAAAACUCAGGGCUUAACCCUGAGCUUGCAGUGGGUACGGGCAGACUAGAGUGCGGUAGGGGAGACUGGAAUUCCUGGUGUAGCGGUGAAAUGCGCAGAUAUCAGGAGGGACACCGGUGGCGAAGGCGGGUCUCUGGGCCGUAACUGACGCUGAGGAGCGAAAGCAUGGGGAGCGAACAGG